UGUGCCUGUGCUCUGUGCUCCACCAGUGUGUUCUGUCAGUGCUGAUUAUUGCGAAGGUGCACCAAUCCUGAAGACAAGACCUGUGAAUUCAUAUUGCGGACCACUCGAAAUGAAUUCGUUUCCAAGAUUGAAUUUCCUGUACAAAAAGAGCAGCUUCGCCCCUCUUCUCUCGAAAGCACCAGUCAUCUCA